rnacentral:rRNA from 1 species
GUAAGGAAUAUUGGACAAUGGACGCAAGUCUGAUCCAGCCAUGCCGCGUGAAGGAUUAAGGUCCUCUGGAUUGUAAACUUCUUUUAUAAGGGACGAAAAAAGGCUUUUCUAAGUCGUCUGACGGUACCUUAUGAAUAAGCACCGGCUAACUCCGUGCCAGCAGCCGCGGUAAUACGGAGGGUGCAAGCGUUAUCCGGAUUCACUGGGUUUAAAGGGUGCGUAGGCGGGCAGGUAAGUCAGUGGUGAAAUCCUAGAGCUUAACUCUAGAACUGCCAUUGAUACUAUCUGUCUUGAAUAUUGUGGAGGUAAGCGGAAUAUGUCAUGUAGCGGUGAAAUGCUUAGAUAUGACAUAGAACACCUAUUGCGAAGGCAGCUUACUACGCAUAUAUUGACGCUGAGGCACGAAAGCGUGGGGAUCAAACAGGCUUAGAUACCCUGGUAGUCC